UUCGAACAAUCUGGUUGAUCCUGCCAGUCACAUUCGCUUGUCUCNAGGAUUAAGCCAUGCAUGUCUAAGUAUAAACAAUUUNGUACUGUGAAACUGCGAAUAGCUCAUUAUAUCAGUUAUAGUUUAUUUGAUAGUACCUUACUACUUGGAUAACCGUAGUAAUUCUAGAGCUAAUACAUGCAUAAAUACCCGACUUUUUGGAAGGGUAGCAUUUAUUAGAAAGAAACCAAUGNGGCUUUGCCGGUAUUGAGUUGAAUCAUAAUAACUGNGCGGAUCGCACUCUGUGCGAUAAAUCAUAUAAGUUUCUGCCCNAUCAGGNUUGGAUGGUAGGGNAUUGGCCNACCNUGCCAGUAACGGGUAACGGAGUAUUAGGGUACNAUUCCGGAGAGGGAGCCUUAAAGACAGCUACCACUUCUAAGGAAGGNAGCANGCNCGUAAAUUACCCAAUCCUGACACNGGGGAGGUAGCGACAAUAAAUAACAAUGCCGGGCUUUUUAAAGUCUGGCAAUUGGAAUGAGAACAAUUUAAAUCCCUAUCGAGG
rnacentral:rRNA from 1 species